rnacentral:lncRNA from 1 species
UGAAUAUGUAAUUAUGUUCUGAGAGAAAAAUCCAUGACACACAUUGUUACAGUCUCUAAAAAUUCCACCAUAAGCAGCCUUAGGAUUUCUAACCAUAAGAAGGAAUAUUACAACCUUUUUCCUUUAACUUCUCAUCAAUGGAGACCCUAUCUUGCUUAAUUCUCCAAGCUAUCACUGAUUUGGAGGGAGGAAUGUUUGUGGACCAUACAUAUUUGGGCUAAUGGAGCUUCUGAUCAAUAUGUGCCUUGAACAUAUGCUUCUUUGAA